UACGUAGGGGGCAAGCGUUGUCCGGAUUUACUGGGCGUAAAGCGCGUGUAGGCGGUCUCGCAAGUCGGGUGUGAAAGCCCAGGGCUCAACCCUGGAAGUGCAUUCGAUACUGCGAGGCUAGAGUCCCGGAGAGGAUGGUGGAACUCUCGGUGUAGAGGUGAAAUUCGUAGAUAUCGAGAAGAACACCGGUGGCGAAGGCGGCAUCCUGGACCAACACUGACACUGAGGAGCGAAAGCCAGGGGAGCAAACGGG
rnacentral:rRNA from 1 species